AUUCAUUCAUCUCGGUUUUUUUCAACAAAAAAAAAAAGAAGAGAACAGGGGUCCUUGAAUUGGAGUCUUUGGAACAAUAAUUGGUAUCUUUAUUAACGCAAGGGCUAUAGCUCAGUUAGGUAGAGCACCUCAUUUACACGCACACCAAUGUUUUUCAGGGGAGUCUAUCAUGCAAUCAAAAGAAUUGAGGUGAGGCAAUAGCUUAACAAGGCGAUGAUCAGUAGCUAGUCUGAGAGGAUGAUCAGCCACACUGGGACUGAGACAUGGCCUAUACUCCUACGGGAGGCAGCA
rnacentral:ncRNA from 1 species